rnacentral:lncRNA from 1 species
UGGAAAAAUAAUGCCCGAACCACUGCAGGUUUGGGGCAGGCCGAUUCAUUGUUUUUUCCUGUCGACCACAUGAUACAACGGGAAAUGUGAAUUGCCCAGAGUCCCAUAGCUUCAAUCCAUGGUUUCUCCUCCCUACCAGAAAUCCUUCUGCUUUUUGGAGUCGUAGUCCAAAGUGUUAUUUUUUUUUAAGGUAGCCAAAGAAAAAUCUCUAAUCCUUUUCAAGCUUCGUUUACAGGAGGUUUUUGUGGUUAAAAGCAGGGGUGGACCCCAUAUGGGCUGCGCCUAUGGCCUCUUGCCGGCACAGAUGAUGGAAAUGGGAGCCGACCCACCUCUGGAAGGCCGCUGGUUGCCCACCUUGGCGUAAAAAGGAGGGCACCGCCAUGACCUGUGCCCCCAAAGCGAUGUGCCUUUUAGUGGCCGUGCUGAGAUGGAGCCUCCCUUUCAAAAGCCAUUCUAUCUGCCUCCUGGGAUGUCGGAGGCGUCCGGCAGGAGGCGAGAACGAAAUCCGGUUCCUGGCAGUUUUGUAAACCCUGGAUGGAAAGGAUGAUUGACGGGGUUCAUCAUAGGGUAUGUUAAUUUGACUCAAACCAUAACAGUGAGGAUAAUAAUUCCUGCCCCCUCUUUCCCUCCCCAGGGGCUGCAGGAAUAUGCCAGUUGCCAGUCGUACGCGUUCAUGAAAGGCGUGGGCACCUUCGUUAUAGGCAGCGGCUUAGCCUUCGUCGUUCAGGGCUUCAAUCGGAAGUGGCGUUACUCCCUCCAGUGGAAUGUCCUCUUCUCCACAGGUUAGUAGCUGAACAAAAUGCCUUGUGGGGGGGAAACCCAGGGGUCAUCCAACCCACCCCUUCAGCAAGGCAGGGGAAUCCACCCCAGCGCCGACUGGGAAGAUCUUGAGGCCGGAGUGGUGGUGGUCACCUGCCUCAUAUUUCGUUAGGAUGUCUUUUCUUGUCUUUCGACCCUCUCGAUGGCGUUUCACGUUAUAAUUAGAGGGGUGCGUUUUGUACGCUGUGCGGUAUCUGAAAGUAAAAAAUAUCUACUUUUAAUAUCACGAUCGAUGAUGGCGGCUGAGCAGCUGCUUUUAUUGUGGGUUAAAAGGC